CUACGUUAUUCAACAUGCAGUAUAUCCCUGUCCUCCUGGACAUAGCGUCAUCUACGUUAUUCAACAUGCAGUAUAUCCCUGUCCUCCUGGACAUAGCGUCACCUACGUUAUUCAACAUGCAGUAAAUCCCUGCCCUGGCAACUUACUCCAUAUAGUGCACUGCUGGUCAAAACGUAGUACACUGUAUAGGGAAUAUGGUGUAAUUUCAGAAGCCCCCAAAGACCUUGUGGUCCAUACACCACAACAUGGAGGUAUGGCACAGAGAGAGCUGGAACACUGGAUAUAAAGAUAUUACAGUGACAACACUGAGAAGUGUACCAAGCUGAUGGCACAUCAGAUGGUCUACCACAGUACAGCACCAGUACAGGUUCCUCUGUCUCAGGUGUGACAUUUUCUCCCCUCAUCCUCCUCCCCCUCAGUGUUGAAGAGCGUCCCCUUCACAGCCCGUACUGCUAAACGAGGCUCACGGUUCUUCUGUGAUGCACAGCUGUGUGACGACUCCAACUGCUAGUCCCUACAGUUCCUCCCCCCCUAAUGCCAAGCUGAACAGAAGAUUAAUGACAGUAUAUGCCACUUCUAAAUUCUGCAGGAUCUCCGCAGCCAGCCUUUUCUGCGGCACGACACGCUGAUCCGGAGCGGCUGGAAGAGACCCUAAACAAACCACUCGUUCUUCCUCCCUUAUCAUCCCUUCCUUUUAUAACCCCCCCCCCUCCUGUGUCUCGGUGGUCUCACCCACCCGAGGCUGCACAGAGACUAAAAGGUGGACAGGACCGAACCAAUGGCCCUUGUUUUACAGGGGUAUUUAUUUAUUUAUGGAGAUCCUUUAUGGACACUGUCUCUCAACAAGCAGGUAUAACUGUAGUAUCACCGACAUAG
rnacentral:lncRNA from 13 species